rnacentral:lncRNA from 1 species
GCCUACUCCAUCCACGGCCGUCCGCGCCACGCAGCGCCCUUCCUCACUCCGGGACCCGGUCAGGACCCCUGGGACCCCGGGCUCCCCAGGGCAGAGCCGCCUCCGGGAAGGCCCACCCGGGAACCCCCUACCUGUGCCCCGACGCCCCCUCCCCGUGUACCCUAACACUCCAAAAUCGGUACCUCCACAUCUGGAUCUCAACCCCAAGCCCCACCGGGCUUUGACAAACCGUGGCUCGGAUUCACCUCAGUCCCAGGACCCCCAACCCGGGUCCCCACCAGGCCCUCAACCCGGUCCCGGUCCCGGUCCCGGCCCACACCCCCGGUCCGCCCCGCAGGCAGGUACUUCCCAGAACGAGCUGGGAACGCGACGUACCCCAGUGCGCCUCGGCACACCAUCGCCCCCCGAAACUGGGGCAUCCACGCGGGGCCGCAGACCCCAGGUGAGACCAGAAAGGCCUAUUCCAGCACCGUGGACCUUCCUAUCCCUGACGGGGAACCACUCUCCAGGCUGCGGCGGGGAGACCCUGGCCUGGCCAGGAAGACUCACCCCCGCCCCAGACCCCACCCCUUGCUGGCUCCUCCCCAGGCCCCGGGGCCUACACUGUGCCCUCGCUCUUGGGUCCGCGUGUCAUCGGUAAAGUCUCGGCCCCAACUUACUCCAUCUGUGGCCGCAGCGCAGUGGGCAGCUGCUUCGAGGACCUCAGCAAGGUGGGAGAGGGGCUGCGGGACACGGCGCAGCGCGGGGUGCACCCGGCGGGCCACAGAGGGUCAGGAAGCAAGAGGUGAAGGCCAGUGCGCCCCCGCUGCCCUCCCACAGACCCCGGGUCCCUGCGCCUACCACGUGGUGAACACUGGGAUCUACAAGCCUCGGGCCCCCCAGUUCUCGAUGCUGGCGCGGAAUUCACUCCCCCAGGACAACACCCUGAAUCCGGGACCCGCAGCCUACAACGUGGACCAAGGGGUCUGGAGUCCCGGGUCAAGGGUCAGGGGAGAGGGGAGGAGGGUCGGAGUCCCGGGGUUCCCCGGCGCGGAGCUGGACGCCUGGCCCCGCGAGGUCAGCGCCGUCUCCUGGGCCCGCAGCAUCGCAAGCCCGGCGGCUGGAGCUUCGGGAUCCGGCACUCGGACCACCUGGCCCGGGUCCUGACCUACGCGGAUGACUGACCCGCUGGGCGGGCGUGGCCCCACAAACGUUUGCUUAAAGCCUCCCGAG